rnacentral:tRNA from 1 species
GCUGGGCGUCGUUCAGGUGCGCAGGCUGCGGCUACUUCUCCUCCAAAGAGAGCGACGCGGGUUCGAAUCCCGCCGCCGGCU